GGGCCCUUAGCUUAAUUGGUAGAGUACCCGAUUGUCAAUCGGGGAGAUUUCAGUUCGAAUCUGGAAGAGCUCG